rnacentral:RNase_P_RNA from 1 species
GCGGAUGGCUGGAUGGCCGCGGGCCUCUGGGCCCGAGGAAAGUCCGGACUCCAUGAAGCUACGGUGCCGGGUAACGCCCGGCCGGGGAAACCCGAGGGAAAGCGCCACAGAGAACAGACCGCCCCGGAUCCGUCCGGGGCAAGGGUGAAACGGUGGGGUAAGAGCCCACCGCGGGACGGGCAACCGGACCGGCACGGCAAGCCCCACCGGGAGCAAUGCCAAAUAGGGGCCUCGCGCGGGGCUGAUCGGGAAACCGAUAUCGCCGCAGGGACGCUUCAUCCCGAGAGGCCCGGGUUGGCAGCACGAGCCCGUCGGCAACGUCGGGCCUAGAUGAAUGGCCAUCCAGGGGGGCAACCCCCGGACAGAAUCCGGCUUACAGGCCAUCCGCGCUU